rnacentral:lncRNA from 1 species
UUUUUGGCUCUCAAAGUUGUAUCUUUAUGUUUAUUUUCAAGGAUAAACUUCAGAUACCACCCAUGUGGUUUCGCACUUUUUCACUCUACUACUUUGUGGUUUAAAGUGUAUCAAGUUAGUAUCCUCUAUAACUUUUCUUUUAUCUUUUCGUCAGUUUCUCCGUCAAUAUUUCAUUAAAUUAUAUAAAAAAAACUUCAGAUACUCCACCUAGGUUUAUCGAAUAUUCACUUUAGUACUCUUUAAUUUUAACUUUGUUAAUGAUUUAACGAAAAAAAUUAGUGAAAUUAAUGUAUAAUAAAAAGAUAAAAAUAAAACCAUAUGACACUAAAUUGAUAUCCUUUAAACCACAGGUACUAAAGUGAGAAAGUGUGAAAUCACAAGAGUGGUAUUUAAAGUUUUCCCUUUUUUCAAAUAAGCUAUAACGUCCUUACUUUUCUAAUCAAAUAAUAUAUAGAUAAAAAUGUAUAGAACUUACCCGAACGGCUAAACUGUAUAUGAACCUUUUUUAUUUGACUAACCAACCUUUCAAAUUUUUUAUUUUACGAUCAAAUCCUUUUAUUUAUUUGAUUCGAUUCAGUAGCCGACAUUUUUACUUUAAAAUUUGAGAGCAUCAUUUAUUUUUUUUACAUAUUUAGUUAGCAUAUUUUAUGCGCUUUUUUGUAAUUAUAAAUUUAUGAAAAUAUAUAAUUAGCUUAAAUUUAUGAGUCAAACUAUGAUCGGUUGAUUUAAAUCAAACAAAUUGAAAUAUUGGAUAGAAAUUCCAUAAUAAUCCAUGGCUCAAUUAAAUUCUAUUUAUUUUCACCUCAUAUAUAAUAUAUUAU